GUUAUAGUUGUAGUGAUGGAUAAAAUUUCAUUAUCAUUUUUCUGCUACUCGUGGAUAAUUUCUAAAUUGUCAUCAUCAUGUACGACCAGUGGGUACUGCCAAAAUACGAGCUUGUGUAUCAGUAAGGAAGCCAAAUCUUCAGAGGAGAUAUUUGAGAGUCUAACCAUUUCGGAGGAAAACCCAGGCCCAC